CGCGUAGGUGGUUUGAUAAGUUGGAUGUGAAAUCCCCGGGCUUAACCUGGGUCGGUCAUUCAAAACUGUCAGACUAGAGUAUGGUAGAGGGUAGUGGAAUUCCUAGUGUAGCGGUGAAAUGCGUAGAUAUUAGGAGGAACACCAGUGGCGAAGGCGACUGCCUGGACUGAUACUGACAUUGAGGUGCGAAAGCGUGGGUAGCGAACAGGAUUAGAUACCCUGGUAGUCC
rnacentral:rRNA from 1 species